rnacentral:rRNA from 1 species
AUUGAACGCUGGCGGCAGGCCUAACACAUGCAAGUCGAGCGGAUGAAGGGAGCUUGCUCCUGGAUUCAGCGGCGGACGGGUGAGUAAUGCCUAGGAAUCUGCCUGGUAGUGGGGGAUAACGUCCGGAAACGGGCGCUAAUACCGCAUACGUCUUGAGGGAGAAAGUGGGGGAUCUUCGGACCUCACGCUAUCAGAUGAGCCUAGGUCGGAUUAGCUAGUUGGUGGGGUAAAGGCCUACCAAGGCGACGAUCCGUAACUGGUCUGAGAGGAUGAUCAGUCACACUGGAACUGAGACACGGUCCAGACUCCUACGGGAGGCAGCAGUGGGGAAUAUUGGACAAUGGGCGAAAGCCUGAUCCAGCCAUGCCGCGUGUGUGAAGAAGGUCUUCGGAUUGUAAAGCACUUUAAGUUGGGAGGAAGGGCAGUAAGUUAAUACCUUGCUGUUUUGACGUUACCAACAGAAUAAGCACCGGCUAACUUCGU